UGUGGGGAAAAGUGCGCAAACCUCUGCAUAGUGUAUAAACUAAUCAUGAUUAGCCGUGUCCCCGGUUAUGGACAACUUGAGUAUCUAGUACUUGGAUUAUCAUGUGAAUCUCAACAUGUUACUCUAAAUUAAUUUUGUUGGGUCAUGUAAUGAUGAUGUUUAAUUGGGAUUGAGGAUGCUGUCAACCAUUCUCAAUGUUUAACAACCACCAUGAUAGUAAUUAAAUUUUAUUCCUUUGAAGUAGGGAAAAAUUAGCUUUAUGCAAAACUGUAACCAUAGAGCUUUCCACAGCCAAAUAUGCAUAUAGUAUAGCUGUUGCAUUCCAUUACUCUCUAUGUGUUACCUUGCCAGCAUAUUCCAUGUGCUGACCUGUUUUUGGGCUGCAACGUUAAUGUUGCAGACUUUUCAGACGACGAUUAAGGAGUUUUUAGGUCGUGGUUCUAUACUCAGUGAUGCCGUUGGAGUUGAUGGACUCACUUAUCUUCCAAGCCUUCCGCUGUUAUCGUAAUUAGAUGGCCUUAAGCCAUAUUUAUUGUAAUAAGUUCUCUUUUGAGACACUCGAUGUAAUAAGUGUGUGAUUGCAACUCUGCUAUAAAUCCUCUGAGUACUAUGUGGUGUCAGCAUUACUGAUCUAGGGAUGACACCGGAGCACAGAGAUCAGACUGUUUGAGGUCUGGUCGCUACACAAUGUGUACACCUUGUCUCUUUUGUUAGCCACAUUUCAGGUUAAGCAACGCCGAGGAUGGCUUUGUUUUCAAGAAGGGGAGGAUGAUGAGGACAUGGCUACCAACGUUACACCCCUAUCCCCUGUUGUAUGCCCUUAGAUGUUCUGGGCCGCACGCGUGCUACACUGAUGUAUUCAACGAGUAUAUAGCCUUGGCCGACAGGCCCGGGUAAUCUUGGGAAAUUUCAUCGUGAUGGGGAUAGAUCAUUGCAAUUGUUGGUCUUGAACGAGGAAUGCCUAGUAAGCGUGAGUCAUCAGCUCGCGUUGACUACGUCCCUGCCCUUUGUACACACCGCCCGUCGCUCCUACCGAUUGAAUGGUCCGGUGAAGUGUUCGGAUCGCGGCGACGGGGGCGGUUCGCCGCCCCUGACGUCGCGAGAAGUCCAUUGAACCUUAUCAUUUAGAGGAAGGAGAAGUCGUAACAAGGUUUCCGUAGGUGAACCUGCGGAAGGAUCAUUG
rnacentral:ncRNA from 1 species